CAGUAGCGCGGGAAUACGUAGGUGGCAAGCGUUGUCCGGAAUUAUUGGGCGUAAAGGGCUCGCAGGCGGUUUCUUAAGUCUGAUGUGAAAGCCCCCGGCUCAACCGGGGAGGGUCAUUGGAAACUGGGAAACUUGAGUGCAGAAGAGGAGAGUGGAAUUCCACGUGUAGCGGUGAAAUGCGUAGAUAUAUGGAGGAACACCAGUGGCGAAGGCGACUCUCUGGUCUGUAACUGACGCUGAGGCUCGAAAGCGUGGGGAGCAAACAGGAUUAGAUACCCGCGUAGUCCCUGUCUCUUAUACA
rnacentral:rRNA from 1 species